AUUGCUUAAUAUACCGGUUCUCGUUAGAUCACCGAAGUCAAGCAUCAUUGGGCGCGGUCAGUACUUGGGUGGGUGACCACCUGGGAACACCGCGUGCCGUU
rnacentral:rRNA from 1 species